CUCUGCAUUCAAAGAAUUCAGGGCAAAAAGGAG
rnacentral:ncRNA from 1 species